CCUCACUCAAGUCUCGGGAUGAUGCGACCCCCCAAGAACUCACUGACCAACCAUAAAUAUAAUCCACCAACAUCUCAACAUCACAACAGGAAACUCAGUAUAAUUCACAGCUGGAGCACCAAACAUCUCUAUAUAUCCCAUCACUCUACGUAGCCUAGGGUGAUCCUGAGCUUGCUUCAGCCUCCUGGGUGCCUGCUCAAGCAUAUACCACCACACCUAGCUAGAGUCUGAGUUUUAAGAGCCAAACCUCCUUACUCUACUCUGUGAGACAUCAAACUAAAGAAUGGAUUCCCCUCAAACCGGAGGCUUCCAGGCUGAUUUCUGGUGAUCUGGAAGAUAAGCUUUGAUUGUCUUACAGCCAUCUCUCUAGGUGUGAUGCUUUCAGGAGAGUAACGUUUGAAACCCACUGAAGGAGCAGAAUCAUCCUCGAAUCCUGCCACUCUCAGGGACUCAAGAACAGUCCUCAGGCUUCUGAGCUCGUGAUCCUCCAACUCCCCACAUGUGGAAGCCAAGGAAGAUCUUCAGCUUGUCGAUGACUAGGGAGACUCUUGG
rnacentral:sRNA from 1 species